AUUGAACGCUGGCGGCAGGCCUAACACAUGCAAGUCGAGCGGAUGAAGGGAGCUUGCUCCUGGAUUCAGCGGCGGACGGGUGAGUAAUGCCUAGGAAUCUGCCUGGUAGUGGGGGAUAACGUCCGGAAACGGGCGCUAAUACCGCAUACGUCCUGAGGGAGAAAGUGGGGGAUCUUCGGACCUCACGCUAUCAGAUGAGCCUAGGUCGGAUUAGCUAGUUGGUGGGGUAAAGGCCUACCAAGGCGACGAUCCGUAACUGGUCUGAUAGGAUGAUCAGUCACACUGGAACUGAGACACGGUCCAGACUCCUACGGGAGGCAGCAGUGGGGAAUAUUGGACAAUGGGCGAAAGCCUGAUCCAGCCAUGCCGCGUGUGUGAAGAAGGUCUUCGGAUUGUAAAGCACUUUAAGUUGGGAGGAAGGGCAGUAAGUUAAUACCUUGCUGUUUUGACGUUACCAACAGAAUAAGCACCGGCUAACUUCGUG
rnacentral:rRNA from 1 species